AUUGUCCCAGACAAGAGUCACCGGCACUUCAUCACUGAUUUUUUCAGGGAUGUAUAUUUCUCCCCUCUCCAUUUGUAGAUGAGCAAGGGCAGUAUCAUGCUCAAGGACCUGGGAAUUAGAUGAGCAGUGACCCAGACCAUUUAACAGCCCUAUAAGCUGUGCAGAGCCAGUCAUAUGCCGAACUGCCAUUGCAAUGACAUCAACACGUUCAUCUGAUGGUUGUGAUGACAUUCCUGAUAUCCAUGCAAUGAAGUUAAAAAGUUGGUGAGGCACUACACUCAUGCCAUUUUCCAGUGUGAGAUCACUUGCUGUUGGAGGCCAUGGUAGCUUUGGAUGAGGAGGAAGCAGAGGAGACGGCAACUUCAUGCACAAUUUCGUCAGCUGACAGAUUGUCCACAUAUACAAGAUACCGGGUAUAAUCUCGAUAGCAAGUGAAGUGAUACCGUGCUUCACUAGCCACCAAGUCCCUGUCUUGGAUAUGGAGAAGGAGAGACUCGUCCCUUUUCCCUUCAGCGGCGAGUAGCAAUUUCCCGGCAUGGAGUGUUUCACACUGUGUUAGCUUUUCUUUUACCCUUUUCCUACUGUGUGACUGAACCUUGUACUUCUCAUGUUUGCAUAUAAUGCAUUGUACUGGAAGCAGGUGUGGGGCCCGCUUGAACGUGCAGGAAUCACGGGCGUAAGAUCUCAGAGCCCGUGUUUUAACUGGAGUUGCAUCACCAUCCUCUGCCUCUACCACUAAAAGUGCAAAACAAUAGAUUUAGGUUCUGCACCCUUCCCCACAUUACUGAUUAAAGAAAAAUGGUUUGUAACUUUCGGCAGGGUAUAUUGGUUCCACCUGUUCCCUUAACAUGGGUAAUAAACCUGUUUCACAGCUUUCAGGUGUCCGUCCUUGUUGAUGUUAAUGAGGCCAUAAUAGGAAGGGUUCAUUUUUGCAGGGUGUUUUUAUUAUAUUAGUUAAUUCAUUGUGUAGCUAUAUUAAGUUAACUCAAAUCUAAACUCCCUGAAGUCCUAGACUCAAUUAAACCUACUU